ACGUACGCUGGCGGCACGCCUAACACAUGCAAGUCGAACGAAGUAGCAAUACUUAGUGGCAGACGGGUGAGUAACAUGUAGGUAUCUGCCCUUUGGCCUGGAAUAACACGAGGAAACUUGUGCUAAUACCGGAUAAGUCUUUACGGAGAAAGCUUUAUGCACCAUUGGAUGAGCCUGCACUUGAUUAGUUUGUUGGUGGGGUAAUGGCCUACCAAGACUGUGAUCAAUAGCUGAUUUGAGAGGAUGAUCAGCCACAUUGGGACUGAGACACGGCCCAAACUCCUACGGGAGGCAGCAGUGGGGAAUCUUGCACAAUGGAGGAAACUCUGAUGCAGCGAUGCCGCGUGAGUGAAGAAGGCCCUUGGGUUGUAAAGCUCUUUCGUCGGGGAAGAAAAUGACUGUACCCGAAUAAGAAGGUCCGGCUAACUUCGUGCCAGCAGCCGCGGUAAUACGAAGGGACCUAGCGUAGUUCGGAAUUACUGGGCUUAAAGAGUUCGUAGGUGGUUGAAAAAGUUAGUGGUGAAAUCCCAGAGCUUAACUCUGGAACUGCCAUUAAAACUUUUCAGCUAGAGUAUGAUAGAGGAAAGCAGAAUUUCUAGUGUAGAGGUGAAAUUCGUAGAUAUUAGAAAGAAUACCAAUGCGAAGGCAGCUUCUGGAUCAUUACUGACACUGA
rnacentral:rRNA from 2 species